CAUGGACGAAACAGAGAAGGAAAGAAGGAAAGAAAGAACAGAGAAAAUUGAGGUUUUGAGGUUCCAAGCUCAUUUGCUAAUGUCAUGCAAGAGUCAUUGUCCAAGAAAGGGAAGAAGAAGGUGGAUAAGGAUUGACUCGAGAAAAAUUUCGGUUAGUAGAAAAUCAGUGUCGCUCCAGCAUCCAAAGUAAUCCCGACUUCAGAGAAAUUUUAGUGAUAUACAUUUCUUUUAAUAACGUGGCAUGUACCUAAGUAAUAUAUAUACCUAAGUGAUGUACAGCGAUUAGUCAAUUUGAAUGUUUGUAUCUAUGAUAUUGCUAAAAGAAGAUGUGUGAGUAUGUGAUAA